rnacentral:rRNA from 1 species
CCACAAUGCACGAAAGUGUGAUGGGGGGAUCCCGAGUGCUUGCAUUAUAUGCAAGCUUUUGCCAAGAGCCAAUAUCUUGGAGAAUAAGUGGUGGGUAAGACCGGUGCCAGCAGCCGCGGUAACCCCGGCGCCACGAGUGGCAAUCUUAUAUUUGGCCUAAAGCAUUCGUAGCCGGUUUGAAAAAUCCUUUGUGAAAUCGUCGAACUCAAUACGACGGCGAGCAGGGGACACUAUCAGACUAGAGACUGGGAGGAGUUGGGGGUAUGCCUGGGGGAGCGGUUAAAUGCGAUAAUCCUAGGUAGACCACCUGUGGCGAAGGCGCCCAACUAGAACAGAUCUGACGGUGAGGGAUGAAAGCUAGGGUAGCGAUCCGG